rnacentral:rRNA from 1 species
CAUAUCAAUAAGCGGAGGGAAAAGAAACUAACAAGGAUUCCCCUAGUAACUGCGAGUGAAGCGGGAAAAGCUCAAAUUUAAAAUCUGUCAGUCUUUGACUGUCCGAGUUGUAAUCUAGAGAAGCGUUAUCCGCGCUGGACCGUGUACAAGUCUCCUGGAAUGGAGCGUCAUAGAGGGUGAGAAUCCCGUCUUUGACACGGACUGCCAGGGCUUUGUGAUACGCUCUCAAAGAGUCGAGUUGUUUGGGAAUGCAGCUCAAAAUGGGUGGUAAAUUCCAUCUAAAGCUAAAUAUUGGCGAGAGACCGAUAGCGAACAAGUACCGUGAGGGAAAGAUGAAAAGAACUUUGGAAAGAGAGUUAAACAGUACGUGAAAUUGCUGAAAGGGAAACGCUUGAAGUCAGUCGCGUUGUCCAGGGAUCAACCUUGCUUUUGCUUGGUGUACUUUCUGGUUGACGGGUCAGCAUCAAUUUUGACUAUUGGAAAAAGAUUAAGGGAAUGUGGCAUCUUUGGAUGUGUUAUAGCCCUUGGUUGCAUACAAUGGUUGGGAUUGAGGAACUCAGCACGCCGCAAGGCCGGGUUUUAACCACGUACGUGCUUAGGAUGCUGGCAUAAUGGCUUUAAUCGACCCGUCUUGAAACACGGACCAAGGAGUCUAACAUGCCUGCGAGUGUUUGGGUGGAAAACCCGAGCGCGUAAUGAAAGUGAAAGUUGAGAUCCCUGUCGUAGGGAGCAUCGACGCCCGGACCAGACCUUUUGUGACGGUUCCGCGGUAGAGCAUGUAUGUUGGGACCCGAAAGAUGGUGAACUAUGCCUGAAUAGGGUGAAGCCAGAGGAAACUCUGGUGGAGGCUCGUAGCGAUUCUGACGUGCAAAUCGAUCGUCAAAUUUGGGUAUAGGGGGCGAAAGACUAAUCGAACCAUCUAGUAGCUG